UGCGAAUGGCUCAUUAAAUCAGCUAUGGUUCCUUAGAUCAUAAAUACUACAUGGAUAACUGUAGUAAUUCUAGAGCUAAUACAUGCCACUAUGCCCUGACCCGCAAGGGAAUGGGUGGAUUUAUUAGAACAGAACCAACCAGAAAUAGUUUCGGCUAUUUCUGUUGUACUCUGUGAUGACUCUGGAUAACUUCACUGAUCGCAGUCGACCUUGUGUCGGCGACGGAUCUUUCAAAUAUCUGCCCUAUCAACUGUCGAUGGUAGGUGACCUGCCUACCAUGGUGAUAACGGGUAACGGGGAAUCAGGGUUCGAUUCCGGAGAGGGAGCCUGAGAAACGGCUACCACUUCCAAGGAAGGCAGCAGGCGCGAAAAUUACCCACUCCCGGCACGGGGAGGUAGUGACGAAAAAUACGAAUACGGGACUCAAUUGAGGCUCCGUAAUUCGAAUGAGUACACUUUAAAUCCUUUAACGAGGACCAAUUGGAGGGCAAGUCUGGUGCCAGCAGCCGCGGUAACUCCAGCUCCAAAAGCGUAUAUUAAAGUUGCUGCAGUUAAAAAGCUCGUAGUUGGAUCUGGGUCGUGUGGUCACAUACCGUUGCUUGUUCUACUAUCUUGAUUAAAAUCGAGACAGUAGUACGGGUCGGUGUAGUGACCGUGCAACCUUUCAGUCGUGUCUGUGUAAACAGGUGUUGGUUUAGUUAAUAGGUUCGCCCUAUUAGCUUGCUAACAUGCUUCCGGAUGCCUUUAAACGGGUGUCGGGGGCAGACGACACUUUUACUUUGAACAAAUUUGAGUGCUCAAAGCAGGCUUGUAUGCCUGAAAAUUCUUGCAUGGAAUAAUAGAAUAGGACUUCGGUUCUAUUUUGUUGGUUCUCGGAUCCGAAGUAAUGGUUAAGAGGGACAGACGGGGGCAUUUGUAUGGCGGUGUUAGAGGUGAAAUUCUUGGAUCGCCGCCAGACAAACUACAGCGAAAGCAUUUGCCAAGAAUGUUUUCAUUGAUCAGGAGCGAAAGUCAGAGGAUCGAAGACGAUCAGAUACCGUCCUAGUUCUGACCAUAAACGAUGCCAACUGACGAUCCGCGGUGGUUCUUUAAUUGGCUCCGCGGGCAGUCCCCGGGAAACCUUUAAGUCUUUGGGCUCCGGGGGAAGUAUGGUUGCAAAGCUGAAACUUAAAGGAAUUGACGGAAGGGCACCACCAGGAGUGGAGCCUGCGGCUUAAUUCGACUCAACACGGGAAAACUCACCCGGCCCGGACACUGUGAGGAUUGACAGAUUGAUAGCUCUUUCUUGAUUCGGUGGUUGGUGGUGCAUGGCCGUUCUUAGUUGGUGGAGCGAUUUGUCUGGUUAAUUCCGAUAACGAACGAGACUUUGACCUACUAAAUAGUUCGCCUGUCCUCUGUGCUCGUGCAGAUUGCGGCUUCUACUGCCUCUUCGAGGGGUGAUAGGGUCGUAAAUCGACGGGUACGGUGCAGGUGUUAACUUCUUAGAGGGACAAGCGGCACACAAGUCGCACGAAAUUGAGCAAUAACAGGUCUGUGAUGCCCUUAGAUGUCCGGGGCCGCACGUGCGCUACAAUGACGGUGUCAGCGAGUCUGGAAACCUGGCCCGAAAGGGUUGGGUAAACUGUUCCAUCACCGUCGUGACUGGGAUCGGGGCUUGCAAUUAUUCCCCGUGAACGAGGAAUUCCUGGUAAGUGCAAGUCAUAAGCUUGCGCUGAUUACGUCCCUGCCCUUUGUACACACCGCCCGUCGCUACUACCGAUUGAAUGGUUUAGCAAGGUCCUCGGAUUGGUGAUGUUGUAGUGACUUUUGUCACAUGAACUGUGCCAAGAAGACGACCGAACUUGAUCAUUUAGAGGAAGUAAAAGUCGUAACAAGGUUUCCGUAGGUGAACCUGCGGAAGGAUCAUUACAAAUCCCUAAUUAUUAAACCAUUAUUAUCAUACAUAUGUGCAUGUGUGCAUGUAUGUAUGUAUAAAAGUCUACUUGAUGUUUGGUAUUUAAAAGUAACUAAACAUUAAAAGACUAUAAAUUUAUAUGUAAACAAUAUUAAUAUUUAUUAAAAGAAAUUGACGGAUGGAUUUUAUGGAUCCGCGGCUUAGGGCUAUGCCUAUCAAUUUAAAUUUGUUAUGCAUAGUGCCUGUGUUAGACGAGGUGUCUAACCUGUCAGAUGCUCUGAUGGUAUGCUCGUAGAUUAUUAUUAUUAUUAUUAUUAUAGUAAACUACCAGUCAUGCUUGGAGCGACAGGAUAGUACUGUGUACAACACUGUGCUAGGCUCAAAGAGGAGUGCAGGACUACGGACCGGCUCCCGCCUCAUUUGUUGUUAAUUUAAUUACUAUUAUUACACUGUUUAAGCUAACUAAAUUAGAUUUAAUUCUGAUUUUGUUAGUUGACUUAUGGCAUGCACCUGAUUGCUAGUCAAUUGGACUGCAUGUGACGAUCGCCUAGCGGUGCCUUAUCCUAGGCUCGAUCGGUAAAUCGAAAUGUUUGUUUUCAUUAAUUUUCAUUAAUGAAACAAAUAUUGUACAACUUUAAGCGGUGGAUCACUCGGCUCGUGUGUCGAUGAAGAGUGCAGCCAACUGUGUGAAUUAAUGUGAACUGCAUACUGCUUUGAACAUCGACCUCUUGAACGCAUAUUGCGGCCACGGGAUAUCCUGUGGCCACGCCUGGCCGAGGGUCGGCUUAUAAACUAUCACGAUGCCCAAAAAGUCGUGGAUUGGAUGCUGUGCCAGCUGGCAUGAUUUCCUCAAUGUAGUAUUUAAUUAAUAUACUAACAUAUGAGGUGCCAGAUCUAUGGCUCCAUCCUAAUGUAUCCGGUUACAGCCAAGUCUAUAUUUAUUAUUAUUAAAUGAUAAAAUUGCUGUAUUACUGGAUUAUGCUCAGGUCGUGGCUCAAUGAUUUUGAACACGCUUGAUGUUAUAAUCCAUAUAUUAAUUAUAUAAAUAUAGACAUUGGAUUAUUUUGUAGCCGAUGGAGUGUAAAUACUCUAUAAUAUGGGUAAUUUAUUGAUUUAUAUGAUACCCUAAUUAUAUAUAUUAUGACCCUGACCUCGGAUCAGACGUGAUUACCCGCUGAACUUAAGCAUAUCACUAAGCGGAGGAAAAGAAACUAACCAGGAUUCCCCCAGUAACGGCGAGUGAACGGGGAUUAGCCCAGCACCGAAGCCUGUGACCAUUUGGUUACUAGGCAAUGUGGUGUUUAGGUCAACUUAUGGCAUUAUUGCUCUACCCUAAGUCCAGCAAUGAGUACGGCUUACUGGAAUGGCCCAUAGAGGGUGAAAGGCCCGUAAGGGUAGAGACCAAAUGGACAAUAAUGCCCUUAGUAGACCUUGGAGUCGGGUUGUUUGUGAAUGCAGCCCAAAAUGGGUGGUAAACUCCAUCUAAGGCUAAAUACUGACACGAGUCCGAUAGCGAACAAGUACCGUGAGGGAAAGUUGAAAAGUACUUUGAAGAGAGGGUAAACAGUGCGUGAAACCGCUUAAAGGUAAACGGGUGGAGUUGAACUGUAAGCCUUGGGAAUUCAACUGGUAAGUAUUACAUGAGCUUGGGCAUUAUUGGUCGACUUUUAAAGUCUGCUUAGUUGCGGGUCCUUGACCUUUAUUGGUUAAGGAUGUGCGAUGCACUAUUAAAGUGCUGUGCACUUUAAAAGUUGAAGGCCUGCUUGCCAGUGCACUUUCCCUUGGUGAUCACCACGACCGGCGCUGCUGUCUGUUUACUUUGAUCAAACCGAUUUUGUCUAACCUUUAUGAUUAGACCUAAUCGGGAUGGCAGGUAGCUCAUUGGUUAAUUGUUAGCUUUUGUUAACAAUUAUCUUUGGGUGUAAUCAGCUGAUCAUUGUAAAUCUGUGCAGUGCGCCGGAGAUGACGGCUAUGGUGUGUGCAUACGUGCUUUGCUAAUUGAUGUUGCUUAGUCUGAUCGGAUUUGUUUACUCACUUUUGUGGGUCUGCUGAUGGCUAAGCUUCGUUCGAUUAUCGGUAGCGUAUGUGACACUAAAUUGGGCCAAUAGUCUGUGGUGUUGCGGUAGACGAUCCACCUGACCCGUCUUGAAACACGGACCAAGGAGUUUAACAUGUGCGCGAGUCAUUGGGCGUUACGAAACCCAAAGGCGUAGUGAAAGUAAAGGCUUAGCUUGUCUAAGCUGUGGUGAGAUCCUGCCGUUUCUCGUGCCUGGUACCACCAAGCGUUUGAGCGGUAGGCGCAUCACCAGCCCGUCUCAUGGUGUAGUCAUGUAACUUGUUAUAUGCAUCACCGGGGCGGAGCUUGAGCGUACACGUUGAGACCCGAAAGAUGGUGAACUAUGCUUGCGCAGGUUGAAGCCAGAGGAAACUCUGGUGGAGGACCGUAGCGAUUCUGACGUGCAAAUCGAUCGUCUAACGUGAGUAUAGGGGCGAAAGACUAAUCGAACCAUCUAGUAGCUGGUUCCCUCCGAAGUUUCCCUCAGGAUAGCA
rnacentral:rRNA from 1 species